CAACUUGUGGACAUAGGCUCUGGUAGAGUGGUAGUCUGUACUCUGUAGAUGCUUUUCAUGGCUGUCCUAAUCUGUCUCAGUUGUAUGUUAUAACCUCGUGUAAAAAAUUAAAGAUAGUGAUUUAGAUUAAUAUUUUCCUUUGAAUAGACUUACAUAAUUUGAUCAUUCAAUUCGUGUGCAAUAUUUUUGAAUGCCGCUCAAAACAAACUGCAGCGAUUUCCAACAGCAAGGGAUCCCUUCGUAGAAGACUAUGAUAGAGGGAGAAGAAAAGCGGCAGUGUUUCUUCAGACUUUCUUUCGGCGCCAGUUUUACAGGAACUAUAUUUGCAGAUUUUUGAAUGCCGCUCAAAACAAACUGCAGCGACUUCCAACAGCAAGGGAUCCCUUCGUAGAAGACUAUGAUGGAGGGAGAAGAAAAGCGGCAGUGUUUCUUCAGACUUUCUUUCGCCGCCAGUUUUACAGGAACUAUAUUUGCAGUCAAAUGACAGUGCAUCCAGUGUUUCGUCCCCUUCAGAUUCUCCCCUAUCGGGAGCUUCGCCUUCCAGCAAUUCGGCGCCAUAUGGAUUUAUUAUUAUUAACAGUUGUUUUAUUUAAAAAUAAAGUAAAACAACUGUUAAUGUCC